GUACGUUAUAUUUCAAUUAUAUUUAAGCCAUUAUUCAUGUUUAGCAGAAAGCUUCUUUGAAAAGCGUAAGUGAUUUCGAUUUUCAAUUUUAAUCAUCGUGAAAAAUUCUUAAAAUAAAUGGAAAAGCUAAAUAUAAAGAGUGUUAACCACAGUUUCAUUUUGAACUAUUUCAGCAAAACUGCAAGGUUUUAAAUCAAAAUACUUCAUCUGACGAUGAUUUUUGCAAUUUUGGCGACUUCAAAAUAAAAUUGAAUGAAUGGGCACCUGCAGCACUUGGAGAGUGUAAGAAAUGCAAAUGUAAUAGUGUCAAUCCUGAAAGUCUGAAAUGUGUACCGUGUGCUCGGGGACGUAUAAAGCCUGAAGAUAAAGAGAGAUGCCAUUUUACUGAAGAAGACAGGUCGCUUCAAUAUCCAGAUUGUUGCUCA